GAGAGAGAGAGAAGCUGAAUGAUGUCUUUUGAGAAAAACCUGCUCCGCAGAAUUGAGAACAGACCCUCUCUUCAUUUCCAGUACUUCCUGAUUAAAGGUCAAAGAUCACCAGCCAGUUUCCUACCAUGGCCACACUGUUGACCACCACCACACACACACAAACAAACACACACACACACACACUUUUUUUUUCUCCCAUACAUCUAUUUCUGAGCCAACCAAACAGGAAACCUUAAUCAAUGACACUGCACCCCCAUCACCAGUAACCCAUCAUAUUGAACAUUCCUUCCUGGAACAGCAGACAGAUGUUUCCCUGAGGUUGCCAUAAGGUUAAGACCAUAGAAAUGGAAUAAAUAGAACGGGCAUUCAAAUCAAUGAUGUCAUAAUAGAUGGACUGGGGGGCUGUAGUGAGUGUUCCCACAAAAGCAAGUUAAAAAGUACCCGUCAAUCUGUGCAGAAUAUCAUUAGUGGAAACUGAGACUGUUCUUAGGGCAGUCCUCAUUGUAGCUAGAUAUUUUCGAGUCGCGUCAUGGACAACCUUUUUCUAACCUUAUCCUAAAUCUCCUAACCUGCAACGUUAAUUCUCAUAACCUGCUGAGUAAUUUAUCUUAACCUGCUACGAAAAGUCACUCCUGCUAGUGAAAACCGACAGGUCUAGCCCUGAAAGCAGUGUGAGUAUUCACUAACGCCGUACAGCCUCCUGCUAGUGAAAACCGUCAGGUCUAGCCCUGAAAGCAGUGUGAGUAUUCACUAACGCCGUACAGCCUCCUGCUAGUGAAAACCGUCAGGUCUAGCCCUGAAAGCAGUGUGAGUAUUCACUAACGCCGUACAGCCUCCUGCUAGUGAAAACCGUCAGGUCUAGCCCUGAAAGCAGUGUGAGUAUUCACUAACGCCGUACAGCUCAAUCUGUGCUGUGAUUUGUUUAAACAACUCAUCAUUUAAACAAACAUUCUACAUUACCACGGAAAUGAUUGCAUCACAAUACCAGGUAGAAAUGCGCGAGUGAACCCUUGAGUUCACCAGUCAAAUUGCCAAGGGUUUGAAGUUCCUAUCCCCAUUCUAUGCAUUAUAUUUCUAUGGUAAUUUUAUGACAGAAAUGUUCCUGGAACGUCAGCAGCAUGACGUCGAUGCAAAAUCCCAGGAUGUACAAAUAAGAAUUGAAUGUAGAGGGUGAGAACAAUUUUACAUGCAUAUUAUGAAUUAAUAUUUCAUUUAUUUAUGCCUUAGGACGACAAGAACAGCACAUUAUGGGUGACAUUUUCUGUCCGCAAAACAGCCCUCGCAACACACAGCUUCUUCGCUAGAUAAACAAACAUCUGAAUCAGACAGUUUGGUGAUUCAUACUAAAAGAGUUUGGAAUACUGCAGCUGCAUAAAUGUUCACUGCCAUUGCUAAGGACAUCCUAAAAAGGAAAAGUUACAAUAUUGUAAGGUAUUUUUUGCUGAGUUUAGUGACGUUUUUUUUGCGGACUGAAAAUGUGGAGAGUAGUGGCAAGUAGUGUUCCCAUCCUGCUUUUUCGUCUAUGCACCUUUUAAAAGGCACUGUUCCUGCGUUCACGGAGAUCACAUUCACGGUAAACACUGCACACAUCGGCUAAAUCUUUACAUGGCAAUCAGACCGAAUCCUGGCCUUAGUGUGAAUCAGAGUGCUGGAGAAUAUCAGGCAGGAGGCAGGCAGGAGGGUAAGAACACUCUAUAUAGAUAAACAUGUUCCUUUCAUCAAUGUUUCUUUUACAUUUGGUCCUAAAGUUAAAAGCACAGCCUCAUUCUCCAAGCACUCAGAGAGAGAGAGAGAGAGAGAGAGAGAGAGAGAGAGAGAGAGAGAGAGAGAGAGAGAGAGAGAGAGAGAGAGAGAGAGAACUCAGAUAGACGGAUUAGCAAUUUGAAGUGUUUCAUAAGGAGUGCAUGUGUGUGUGUGUGUGUGUGUGUGUGUGUGUGUGUGUGUGAGAGAGAGAGAGAGUUGUUCUAUGAAUCAGAGGGCUUACAGAGAGUGGUCAAAUGGCUUUGUAAGUGAAUGCAUUUGUGAGUAUGUGUGGAGGGAGGUAGGGAGGGAGGGAGG
rnacentral:lncRNA from 1 species